rnacentral:lncRNA from 1 species
GUGAAAUUAACUCUGAGGCAGCCAGAGUAUAUGGAUUAAAACUGUUUUUCAACCUUCAACAGAUUUCAGCAAAGGUUCUGCUACAUCCUCUUGCUUCCUCUCCUUUCUUGUUAGAAUGUUUGAGGAUUUUUUUUAUUUUUUUUUUUUUCAGUCACAAUCUUUUCUGAGAUGUUUCCUGAGAUAUUAUUAUGGAGAAGUAAUGUAGAUGAUAAAAAAGCAUGAAAAAGUGUUCAAAAAGAAGUGGAAAAAGAUCAGCAGCAGGACCCCACCACCCCCAUGCAACAGAGGUUCAAAGAUGCUGCAUUCCUUGUGCUGUGCCACCAGCUCUGGCUGCCAGCGUGCCCUCUGAUGACUUUCUUUAAUCCUCUUUCUUGCAUAGAUGGGGACCAGAACCUAUGGAAACAACAACUGCAAGUGGAAAUCCAUGUGGAGAGAAGUACCUGCAUAUCCGUUCUAUUGAAAUGUUUCCAACAAAACCAAAAGGAUGUUGUGGCCAAAUGCCUGCAUUGCCUUCAUGCAGAGAACACUAAUCAGAAAUAAUGCUUCCAUGUGAAUGAACAGCUGUGCAGAUGGUGGCAAAUGGAAUAUCCGUCUGGGAGCAGAGCUGAAUAAAUGUAGCAUAAUGGGACCUAUGAACA